rnacentral:rRNA from 1 species
GACAGAGGGAUGCAAGCGUUAUCCGGAAUGAUUGGGCGUAAAGGGGUGCGUAGGCGGUUUGGUAAGUCUUAUGUGAAAUCUACAGGCUCAACUUGUAGUCUGCAUGAGAAACUGCCGGGCUUGAGUAUGGGAGAGGUGAGUGGAAUUCCUGGUGUAGCGGUGAAAUGCGUAGAUAUCAGGAGGAACACCUGUGGCGAAAAGCGGCUCACUGGACCAUAACUGACGCUGAUGCACGAAAGCUAGGGGGAGCAAAACAGGGAUUAGAAA